GAUGCUGGCCAUGGCAACUGGGUCCUCUGGGUUGAUACCUUUGCGACGAAGUUGUGUCUCUAUUUUCUUGAUAUUUAGUUUCUGCGAUUCAAGAGCCUGCUCAUAUCUAGCCUUGAAUAAAGCCUGCAAUAAGGAUCAUGCUUGGACGAGUGAUAAUACCUACCGCUACCAUGGCUACGGUGAGGCACGCCUACGAGUAAGAAUCUGGACAAGGAGAACUGCUGCCCGAGGUCACAACGCACCAAUGAAAUAAGCUACUUCCGCAUCGAGCCGUUCUUGGUAACUGAGCAGCAAAGUAUCUCAUGAGUUACCAGCGCAAAGUCACAACAAGCAAAUUUCAGCAAGUUCAUGGCGCAAAUAGCAGUAACUUCACAAUUAAACUCUAGCUCAGAAUUAUGUCCUCAAAGCCCACCAAAGAUGAUCGGACGAUUCAUGAAACAAUCCUGGCAUGAUGUUACGUUUUUUCUCGUUCAGAAUUAACCAGCAUUGGUUGUUCUGCAUGAGCAGAUUCCUCCAUCUACGAUGCAAUGUCGCAGUUAAGAGCUAAGAGUUGUCUAUUUGGACCAUGUGCAGUACAAUUUGUAGACCAUGAAGGUGCAAACACAGUCUCAGACAAUGGAGUAGACGGAAUAGCAGGUAUAUAAACCACAUAAUAUUCAGGAGAUAAAUUGCAACAUGGUGGCU